UACGGGGGGGGCAAGCGUUGUUCGGAAUUACUGGGCGUAAAGGGCGCGUAGGCGGUUUGCUAAGUUGGAUGUGAAAACUCUGGGCUUAACCCAGAGCCUGCAUCCAAAACUGGCAAACUUGAGUACUGGAGGGGAAAGCGGAAUUCCUGGUGUAGCGGUGAAAUGCGUAGAUAUCAGGAGGAACACCGGUGGCGAAGGCGGCGACCUGGGUCGACACUGACGCUGAGGCGCGAAAGCGUGGGGAGCAAACAGG
rnacentral:rRNA from 1 species